AGUAAAUGACUGGGUGCAAGAGCACCAGACCCGGUUGCACCUGGCUUUUGAAGGUGUUCGAGAAAGGUUAAAGGUCACAGCUGAGCGCCGAAAAAGGAACCAUGAUCAGACUGUUCGGUCACAGCCCCUGGUGGAGGGCCAGAUGGUGUUGGUGAGAGAUCUGGGCAGGAGAGGUCGUUGCAAGAUUCAGGAUAAGUGGAAUUCAGUUGUGCAUAGGGUGAUCAAGGCUCCCCCUGGAGAAGGUCCUGUGUAUACUGUGGCACCAUUAGAUGACCUCACCAAGGUCAAGCGGGUGCAUCGAACGUUGCUUAAGGCCGUGGUUGGGGUCGCUUCUCCGGGCAGCACUUCUGAUUCUCCUCCUAUUCCCCCGGGCCAGCUGGUGAUGCAAGACGAAUCAUCCGAUGAUGAUUUGUUGGUUUUGGUGAGGGAAACCCCUACCCCAUCCGCUGGCCGGAUGGCCAGAGAAACCCAAACAGCACCUGCAUUGGCACUGCCUGCCGCUGCAGUCGUACCUGUGCCCCCUCCCCAUUCUGUCCCUCUGGCAGUCACUCCCCCAGGGAUUAAUGAAACUGCCAUGCGGCGGACAGCCCGAUCCACGGCUGGCCAACAUCCCAACCCCCAUCGUCUUCCCAGGCCUGCCAAUGAAAUGGCUCAGGCGAGGCCUCCACCCGCCCAGUCCAACGCUGUGUCUGUUUUCUUCAGGCCCUGGCAUUGACCCUUAUAUCUUUUCAGCGCAUCGUCGGGUCGACGAUGAAAAAGGGGGGGGUGGAUUGUAGCAGUAUGCUGGGGCUGAUUGAAUUUAAGUCUGCCGCUCUGCACUUUACCUGGCGCUGUAGCCUAUUAACGUAGAGGGCGAGGGAAUAAAAGGGGGCCGUGUCCCUCUCUUGUCCUCUCACUUCCUGGCUCGAAGGCCCUCCCGCUUCCCGGCCUUCCGCUUCCUCCUUUGUACUCGAGACGGGUAGGUGCACGGCUGCAUUGUUUGCAAGUUGUUUCUUUUAGCUCUUAUUAGCCUCUGCAUUGAACUGUUUAACUUUGUGCGUAGUGGUCCAUUGUGGUUAAGGGGAUGGUGGCGAUUCUCCCUGUUUGCCAAAGACAUUAAAAGGACAAGCUGAUCCCGAACGCAUCACGCACCACAGACGCUCCAGUGAAGUACGGAGCGGUGCCGAGGCUCCUCGUCACUGUCCUCCUCGGAAGGGUUCCUGUUGUUCGGGACCCGUGGCUAACGGUGGAUAUAAAUUGCUGCGAGCCGACGGUGGUGGCGGUGUCCUGGGUGGUGGUUCCUCUUUGUGUGCUGUGAUUCUGGAUUUGGUUGCUUUGCACUUCACCUUUGUGUGUGUCACGUGAGCGUGGGGUGCCUUUUCUUGUUUUGGACUCCUUCCCCCCACAUUGUCCCUCACCGUUGGUGAGCCUCAGCUAUUGGAGCAGGGUGUUAAUUAUUAGUUCGGUCGUGAACUACCCUUUUUAACUUGUGAGACCAACUUCCAAUAAACGUGUUCAUUAUUUUUGCUACCGUGAACCACGUCUCCUGCCCUUCCUUGUAUUACUUACCUGUGUGCCUUCCUUUAUAGUUAUAUUUAUUUACAAUUCCCUGGGUGCAAUUCCCAGGGUGGCGUUGUUGGUUUCUUUGUCCUAAAUUUAAUAAUCGUAGUAUAACAUUCUGAGCCCUCGCAUCGCCACAAAA